rnacentral:ncRNA from 1 species
GCUGGUGCAUUUAAAUGUUAUAUAAAAUAAUCUUAUCUGGUAAAGCGAAUGAUUAGAGGCCUUAGGGUCGAAACGAUCUUAACCUAUUCUCAAACUUUAAAUGGGUAAGAACCUUAACUUUCUUGAUAUGAAGUUUAAGGUUAUGAUAUAUUGUGCCCAGUGGGCCACUUUUGGUAAGCAGAACUGGCGCUGUGGGAUGAACCAAACGUAAUGUUACGGUGCCCAAAUUAACAACUCAUACAGAAACCAUAUAAGGCGUUGGUUGCUUAAGAUACCAGGACGGUGAUCAUGGAAGUCGAAAUCCGCUAAGGAGUGUGUAACAACUCACCUGCCGAAGCAACUAGCCCUUAAAAUGGAUGGCGCUUAAGUUGUAUACCUAUAAAUUACCGCUAAAGUAGAUGAUUUAUAUUAUUUAUAAUAUAAAUUUUGAAACUUUAGUGAGUAGGAAGGUACAAUGGUGUGCUUAGAAGUGUUUGGCGUAAGCCUGCAUGGAGCCGCCAUUGGUACAGAUCUUGGUGGUGGUAGCAAAUAAUCGAAUGAGACCUUGGAGGACUGAAGUGGAGAAGGGUUUCGUGUGAACAGUGGUUGAUCACGAGUUAGUCGGUCCUAAGUUCAAGGCGAAAGCCGAAAAUUUUCAAGUUUUAAAAAUGUCAAAUGAAAUAAUAAAUAAUAAAACACUUCAAUAAUUUUGAACGAAAGGGAAUACGGUUCCAAUUCCGUAACCUGUUGAGUAUCCGUUUGUUAUUAAAUAUGGGCCUCGUGCUCAUCCUGGCAACAGGAACGACCAUAAAGAAGCCGUCGAGAGGUAUCGAAAGAGUUUUCUUUUCUGUUUUAUAGCCGUACUACCAUGGAAGUCUUUCGCAGAGAUGGUGGGGAUACGCAAACUUCUCAACAGGCCGUACCAAUAUCCGCAGCUGGUCUCCAAGGUGAAGAGUCUCUAGUCGAUAGAAUAAUGUAGGUAAGGGAAGUCGGCAAAUUAGAUCCGUAACUUCGGGAUAAGGAUUGGCUCUGAAGAUUGAGAUAUUCGGGCUUGAUUGGGAAACAAUAACAUGGUUUAUGUGCUCGUUCUGGGUAAAUAGAGUUUAUAUCAUUUAUGAUAGUUAUUUGUUCCCCGGAUAGUUAGUUACGUAGCCAAUUGUGGAACUUUCUUGCUAAAAUUUUUAAGAAUACUAAUUUUGAAUUAGUUCUUUUAAAUUAUAACGAUUAUUAAUUAACAAUCAAUUCAGAACUGGCACGGACUUGGGGAAUCCGACUGUCUAAUUAAAACAAAGCAUUGUGAUGGCCCUAGCGGAUGUUGACACAAUGUGAUUUCUGGCCAGUGCUCUGAAUGUCAAAGUGAAGAAAUUCCAGUAAGCGCGCGUCAACGGCGGGAGUAACUAUGACUCUUUUCCACAUCUUGCAAAAAUGCUAUCUUACGCACGGGAGGCGGCUAGCUAGACACAACAGCGUAGUAAAUGCCGCCUAGCGGGGACUUGAACGAAAAGAUCUCCUCAUCGCUGAAGAUACCAAACUCAUCAGCGUCAGAGCAUAAAAUGGCGGAGUGACGU